CCGAAAUAUACCUAAGCUCGUUCAUAAAUCACACGAAGAACAUACAGUUGCAAAAGCCGAUCAAGUCGAUUAUUGUCUAAGAAAUUCUAUCAGCUCAACAAUAUCCAAUCAAGUUGAAACUUGUAGGUUUUGUUUGCUAAACACUAAAAGAGGUAUACAAAAGUCGACAAGUCCAAACGUGAAAUCCAUUCUGUUGAAAUUUUUUGAACUUUUGCACCAGUGUAAAAUAAAAAACUUCUAAAGAUGAAAUCUAUUAUUUUCCUAAUAUCGUUUUCAAAUGUUAUUGUAUCAUUUGUUGAUGGAGGUAACUCUCUCCCAGCUUCGAACACAUUGGAAGGAUGUGAGGUCAUAGUUGAUGAAAGAAAUAAUAAUAGUAA